rnacentral:lncRNA from 1 species
UUAAGUUCAUAAGUUGAUUAGAACAUUAAAUAACUAGUUAAGUUAAAAAGUUUAAAAAAAAAUUAACUUUUUAACUAGUUAUUGCCCACCUUUGGUUAUAUAGUUUGCCAACCCCCCUUCCAGCAAAAUGUACGAGGUAAUAAAUGGGGUGUGCUUAUGCCGGCUUGCAAAGAGGAGAUUCAGAAUGGAAUGUCAAGGACGGAGAAGAUUUGAAUUAAAUAUGAUACAUUUACAUUGGUUAAUUCUUGAUAAGACAUAGAAUUUAUUGUACUCUUAAAAGUCAUGUAGAACAUAGUUAUGUAUUUUUAAUUCUUUUUUUUUAACUUUUAUAUUUUUCAAACUAUUCUGAACUUAUAAUAAAUUGUAAAUAAAUAAUUGUAAGGGAAUAUUUAUAAAUGACUAUAUUUCAGUAAACUAAAUUUAAAAAACUCAUUUCUCCAUUAAAUGUUUUCUCAUUAUUUCAUUAUUCUAAAAAUAAUAUUAAGUACUUAAUAAUUUAAUUAAAAUUGUGUUUAAAGUUAUUAUCGACAAAAUCAAAUAUUAGUUUAUUUCUAUUCUUUUUCUUUAUCACAACACAUAAUAUUAAAUAAUAAAUAGUAACCCAAGUUAUUAACAUCGUAAGUUAAUAAUAUCUAAUUGUUCAAAUACAGCCAGUACCUAUUAUGGGCUAAUAUAGAUUAGACGAUGUAUUUAUACAAUAUCUCAUAAAAGUACCGGUAAUAUUAUGAUAUUAUGUUGUUACAUCAUACUACAUCAAAAUGUUUACAAGAAUUCAAUGUAUCUUAUAGAAGCAAAAAUACAUUGAAAAUGUCGCAUUACGAGCUUUUGAUACGUGUUCAUAGAAUUAUCUAAGUAUAUUUAGCACCUUACCUUUUUAGUGUAAUUGUUGUAUGCACAAUGCACAUUAAGCAACAGCUCACUUAAAGUAAAUAUUUUGCAAUAUUUAUAAUACGUCAUCUAAAUCAAGAAUAGGUACAUCGCACUUUCAAUAACUGGAAGUCUGCUCGUCCUUUCAUUUGUUUCUAGGGAGGACAUUGAGACAGUCAAUGAAUCAUCAACUAAUAUUCUUUCAAUAUUUCUAGACCUGGUGGAAUUUGAUGAUCAAUCUAAAAGUAAAUUGCUUCUUCUCAAAAGAAACAUUGAAGGCUGUUGAAAAUUAAAAAUAGAAGCUUUAUUAACAUGUAUCUAUCAAGAUGUGAUGAAUAGAAUUCCAGAUGGCAACCAAAUUGGCUGUAAUACACUCUCUCUGAAAAGUGGUAUUUUCUUUUACCUCAAAUUAUGUUAAAUACAAUUUAAUACAAGACAUAGUUUAUUAGGAACAUAUUUGUCACAAGAUAAUUAUCCUGAUCCUAUAACAAUUCUAUACCGAGGACAACCGUUUUUAUUUGCUACCUUUGUUCGACUUAAAUGCCAAUUAGCCACAGCUUUGCCACAUUUAGCUGUGGGUUUAAAAUUUGUUUGACAAAGCUGAGGUAUUUAGACUGUUCCAAGUUAGCUUAUAAAAACGACAGACCUUGUCACAUCAGAGUUGCCACUAUUUCAAAACAAUAAGGAUAUAUGUAAUAUAACCUAAAUAAUAGAUGGAAUUGAUAUAAAAUUAUAACCUGAUUCACCCAACUUAUGAAUAAAUAUGUUGUUUGCA